rnacentral:rRNA from 1 species
UACGGAGGGUGCAAACGUUGCUCGGAAUCAUUGGGCGUAAAGCGCACGUAGGCGGAUUGUUAAGUCGGGGGUGAAAUCCUGGAGCUCAACUCCAGAACUGCCUUCGAUACUGGCGAUCUCGAGUCCGGGAGAGGUGAGUGGAACUGCGAGUGUAGAGGUGAAAUUCGUAGAUAUUCGCAAGAACACCAGUGGCGAAGGCGGCUCACUGGCCCGGUACUGACGCUGAGGUGCGAAAGCGUGGGGAGCAAACAGG